AUACGUAGGUGACAAGCGUUAUCCGGAUUUACUGGGCGUAAAGGGCGUGUAGGCGGUCUUGCAAGUCAGAAGUGAAAUUCCUGAGCUCAACUCGGGCGCUGCUUCUGAAACUGCAGGACUUGAGUGCUGGAGGGGAUAGCGGAAUUCCUAGUGGAGCGGUAAAAUGCGCAGAUAUGAGGGAGAACACCGGUGGCGAAGGCGGCGAUCUGGCCAGGAACUGACGCUGAGGCGCGAAAGCGUGGGGAGCAAACAGGAUUAGAUACCCUGGUAGUCCCCACUGUAAACGAUGAAUGCAAGGUGUAGGGGGUAUCGACCCCUUCUGUGCCGCAGUCAACACAAUAAGCAUUCCGCCUGGGGAGUGCGGCCGCAAGGCUAAAACUCGAAUGAAUUGACGGGG
rnacentral:rRNA from 1 species